rnacentral:rRNA from 1 species
AGUUAUUCAACGGCCGCGGUAUCCUAACCGUGCAAAGGUAGCGAAAUCACUUGUCUUCUAAAUAAAGACCAGUAUGAACGGCUAAAUGAGAAUGGACCUGUCUCUUAUACCCAACCGGUGAAACUGAUCUCUCAGUACAAAAGCUGAGAUAUUCCCAUAAGACGAGAAGACCCUGUGGAGCUUCAAACCUACGUUACCAAGCACAUUAAAACAAGCCACUAACUAUAGGUUUUUAGUUGGGGCAACUUUGGAACAUAAAAAAACUUCCAAGCACAGAACCACAAGUUCUUACCAAGGCCAACAAGCCAAAUAUAAACAUGACCCAGUACUACUGAUAAACGAACCAAGUUACCCCAGGGAUAACAGCGCUAUCUUCUUCAAGAGUCCAUAUCGACAAGAAGGUUUACGACCUCGAUGUUGGAUCAGGGCACCCAAAUGGUGCAGCCGCUAUUAAAGGUUCGUUUGUUCAACGAUUAAAGCCCUACGUGAU